rnacentral:rRNA from 1 species
UGGGGAAUAUUGGACAAUGGGCGAAAGCCUGAUCCAGCCAUGCCGCGUGUGUGAAGAAGGUCUUCGGAUUGUAAAGCACUUUAAGUUGGGAGGAAGGGCAUUAACCUAAUACGUUAGUGUUUUGACGUUACCGACAGAAUAAGCACCGGCUAACUCUGUGCCAGCAGCCGCGGUAAUACAGAGGGUGCAAGCGUUAAUCGGAAUUACUGGGCGUAAAGCGCGCGUAGGUGGUUUGUUAAGUUGGAUGUGAAAUCCCCGGGCUCAACCUGGGAACUGGAUUCAAAACUGACUGACUAGAGUAUGGUAGAGGGUGGUGGAAUUUCCUGUGUAGCGGUGAAAUGCGUAGAUAUAGGAAGGAACACCAGUGGCGAAGGCGACCACCUGGACUAAUACUGACACUGAGGUGCGAAAGCGUGGGGAGCAAACA